GAACCGUACGAACGUUAUUCGGAAUCACUGGGGCUUAAAGGGUGCGUAGGCGGUCCGGCAAGUUGGGUGUGAAAGCCCUCGGCUCAACCGAGGGAACUGCGCUCAAAACUGCCGGACUUGAGGGAGACAGAGGUGAGCGGAACUUAGGGUGGAGCGGUGAAAUGCGUUGAUAUCCUAAGGAACACCAGUUGCGAAAGCGGCUCACUGGGUCUCUUCUGACGCUCAGGCACGAAAGCUAGGGGAGCGAACGGGAUUAGAUACCCCGGUAGUCCUAGCUGUAAACGAUGAGCACUGGGUUGGAGGCUCCUCCAUAGGCUUCCAGUCGAAGCGAAAGUGCUAAGUGCUCCGCCUGGGGAGUAUGGUCGCAAAGGCUGA
rnacentral:rRNA from 1 species